rnacentral:sRNA from 1 species
GGUAGUUGCACACAUAACAGAUGCUAUCCAAGAAUGGAUAGAACGAGUGGCAAAGAUACCAGUUGACGGGAAAGAAGGGCCAGCUGAUGUUUGUGUCAUUGAAUUGGGUGGAACUAUAGGGGAUAUUGAGUCCAUGCCUUUUAUUGAAGCACUGUUGGAACUGUAUUUAUGCAGUUUAAUUUGUUAAUUUCAUGGUUUUGAUGGUUUUCUUUUUUUUCUUUUUUCUGUUAAAAUUGAAUUUCAUACUUUUGCAUUUUAAGUGGUUUAAGUUCAUGCAAUAUCCUAAACCUUUUCCUUUGAAUUUAUCCUGUGUUUGGGUCUUCAAACUAAUUCCUUUAUCAUUUACAGUGUUGCAGCAGAGCCUAAUUUGAAGGAGUCGACUGCAAGGAAAAAAAAUUAUGACAGAUGUGAUGAAACUUGGCCAAUGUGGAGCUUACAACAAUUGUUACGUGCCUCAGGUUAGAAUUGCAAUGGUGGGAAAAUACACAGGCCUUUCAGAUGCAUAUCUUUCUAUUCUGAAGGUAACUUACUCCUAAAUUAGUAACUGAACCCUUCUAUUUUUUACAUAAUAAUUUCCUCUUUUUGGAUUCUCUACAACUUCUUUUUUAUUCAAUAUGCAUACUGAAACAUAAAGAGGUGAUUACUGGUCUAUCUACUACAUUACUUAUGUUAGUUGACCUUUUGGUUUUGGUUUUGCUUUUAUGCAACCCUCUGACGAUUGAUUAAAAUAUAUUGCUGCAGGAUCCUAAGG